rnacentral:rRNA from 1 species
GAUGAACGCUGGCGGCGUGCCUAAUACAUGCGAGUCGAGCGAACAGACGAGGAGCUUGCUCCUCUGACGUUAGCGGCGGACGGGUGAGUAACACGUGGAUAACCUACCUAUAAGACUGGGAUAACUUCGGGAAACCGGAGCUAAUCCCGGAUAAUAUAUUGAACCGCAUGGUUCAAUAGUGAAAGACGGUUUUGCUGCCACUUAUAGAUGGAUCCGCGCCGCAUUAGCUAGUUGGUAAGGUAACGGCUUACCAAGGCAACGAUGCGUAGCCGACCUGAGAGGGUGAUCGGCCACACUGGAACUGAGACACGGUCCAGACUCCUACGGGAGGCAGCAGUAGGGAAUCUUCCGCAAUGGGCGAAAGCCUGACGGAGCAACGCCGCGUGAGUGAUGAAGGUCUUCGGAUCGUAAAACUCUGUUAUUAGGGAAGAACAAAUGUGUAAGUAACUAUGCACGUCUUGACGGUACCUAAUCAGAAAGCCACGGCUAACUACGUG